GAUGAACGCUAGCUACAGGCUUAACACAUGCAAGUCGAGGGGAAACGACAUCGAAAGCUUGCUUAUGAUGGGCGUCGACCGGCGCACGGGUGAGUAACGCGUAUCCAACCUGCCCACCACUUGGGGAUAACCUUGCGAAAGUAAGACUAAUACCCAAUGAUAUCUCUAGAAGACAUCUGAAAGAGAUUAAAGAUUUAUCGGUGAUGGAUGGGGAUGCGUCUGAUUAGCUUGUUGGCGGGGUAACGGCCCACCAAGGCGACGAUCAGUAGGGGUUCUGAGAGGAAGGUCCCCCACAUUGGAACUGAGACACGGUCCAAACUCCUACGGGAGGCAGCAGUGAGGAAUAUUGGUCAAUGGGCGAGAGCCUGAACCAGCCAAGUAGCGUGCAGGAAGACGGCCCUAUGGGUUGUAAACUGCUUUUAUAAGGGAAUAAAGUGAGUCUCGUGAGACUUUUUGCAUGUACCUUAUGAAUAAGGACCGGCUAAUUCCGUGCCAGCAGCCGCGGUAAUAC
rnacentral:rRNA from 1 species